GCUGGGUGUGGUGGUGCAUGCCUGUAAUCCCAGCUGCUCUGGAGGCUGAAGCAAGAGGAUCUUCAGUCCAAAGCCAGCCUCAGCAAAAGCAAGGUACUAAGCAACUCAGUGAGAACCUGUCUCUA
rnacentral:sRNA from 1 species